ACGCGGAGCCCGCGCAGGCGUCGCUCUGCGCAGGCGCGGGGUGGGCGCAGGAGCGUGGGGUUUUUUUUGGGACCGCGCCGCUCGCGCAGCUGAGGGGAGCUCCGGCCGGGCGGACGCGAGGUGAAGCAUCCGUAACAGCGUUCCUGGUGUUGUGCCGCCGUCACCACCAAGCCUCUGGAACCUUCUCAUCUUCUUACACUGAGACUGUCCCCACUGAACACAGACGCCCCCAGCCCCGCCCCCACCGUCUGCUUCCUGUGUCUGUGAACCUGACUCCUCCAGGUCCCCAUAUAAGUGGAAUCACGGGGUUUGUCUGUGUCUGGCACCGCCCUGAGCAUCACGUCCUCGUGGGUCAUCCACUCAGCAUAUCAGGACUUUCGCGGCUAAGUGAUGUUCUGUUCCAUGGAUGGACCACGUUUCAUCCAUCGAUGGACACUGGGUUGCUUCUGCCUUUUGACCAUUGUGAAUAACGCUGCCAUGCAGUUGGAUUUUCUUAUCAGACAAUCACUCUCAGCUCUUGAGCUGCCAAACACAGGUGUGCAGGGCUAGGUCUGGGCCCUGGCUUGUAGACCAUGCUCUGAAACAUAAUGGUCCCAAGUCACAUCCUGAGCCCAGCUUUGCAUCACCUUGCUUGGCCUCUCAGGACCCAGGAACUGCCCAGGCUGCCCAGUCAUCCCCAUCUAGAGAGACUGGAUCUGGGUGGAGUGACCCCAAGCUGAGGGCUGGCUGUGUUCGCAGGGAGGACAGUCCAGUCCCCAGUUGGGCUGGACCACGUCCCAGGCGUAGCUGCAAGGGGCGCCCCCCUCCCACUUUCUUCUUGACCUUUUCUUCUCCAGGGCGAUAGUUUCUGUGCAAAAGUCUUCCUUUUUAUUAAGAAAUGCUUAAUGCACGUAAAAGAAUACAGGUUCAUGUGGUCACUUGGAGCACCAGAAAAUGAA